AGGUAGAGCAAAUCUCAAAAAAACAAUCUCAGUUCAGACUGCAGGCUGCAACUCGCCUGCACGAAGUCGGAAUUGCUAGUAAUCGUAGGUCAGCAUACUACGGUGAAUACGUUCCCGGGCCUUGUACACACCGCCCGUCACACCAUGGGAGCUGGUAACACCCGAAGUCAGUAGUCUAACCGCAAGGAGGACGCUGCCGAAGGUGGGAUUAGCGACUGGGGUGAAGUCGUAACAAGGUAAC
rnacentral:rRNA from 1 species